rnacentral:rRNA from 1 species
GCCAGAGGGUGCGAACGUUGUUCGGAAUUACUGGGCGUAAAGCGCAUGUAGGCGGCAGCGCAAGUCGGGCGUGAAAUCCCACGGCUCAACCGUGGAAGUGCACUCGAAACUGCGCAGCUAGAGUCCUGGAGAGGAAGGUGGAAUGCUUGGUGUAGAGGUGAAAUUCGUAGAUAUCAAGCGGAACACCGGUGGCGAAGGCGGCCUUCUGGACAGUGACUGACGCUGAGAUGCGAAAGCGUGGGGAGCAAACAGG